GUGUUGUGUUUCACCAAACAAGAGAAGAGAAGAGAAGAGAAGAGAAGAGAAGAGAAGAGAAGAGAAGAGAAGAGAAGAGAAGAGAAGAGAAGAGAAGAGAAGAGAAGAGAAGAGAAGAGAAGAGAAGAGAAGAGAAGAGAAGAGAAGAGAAGAGAAGAGAAGAGGGAAAAAAAAAGAAAAGAAUCAGCUCCACCUGAGUUGUUCAGUCUCUCAGGUUACCUUCUCUAAAUAAGACUCCUCCUGGGUCAGCUGUCAGUGGAUGAUGUGUCUUUAAUGUGCAGUGGGGCAUGGAACAGGAACCCUGUUGAAUGGACUUGACUGGUCGGUGAUGGCAGGAUCAGGUGUCGCUCUGAGGCUGCAUGAGUUCAGAGAGCCUCAGGACUCUAAAGAGCUCGACAGACCAACUAAACUAACCCCGAAAGCUUCACGUCUGGGGAAGGAUGUACAGGGAUUAUAUCCAGGACAGCUGGCCAGAGUCCAUGCUGUCCACUCAAAGUACUGUGGCUAUAAUCACCACAGCAUAACGGCUCAGUCGCUCAACAAGUCCCUUCAAUAUCCAAACCAUCAAGUGGAAAACCACCAGGCGAGUUUUGACAUCUGCACCUUGAGAGCUCUGAGUCUCCUCCGACACAGUGCUGAAGUCUGGGAACAGCGCCCCCCUCAGACGGCCUACCAGGAGCACUUUGGGUUGCAGUCUCCUCUCUUUCUUCAGUGACACGUUAUAUUUAUUCUGUCAGAUGACAUCAAGCGCUAUUUUGAAACCAGUUCUCUCCCAAUUUGAUGUGCUCAUAUUGAUUCUACAGCGACCAACAAAGCCGAACCGAAGCACAUUAUUCGUAUAUUUGAGGAGUUCAGUUGCAAAAACAAGGCUGUUCAUUCAGCCACUUGGCAUUGUCAGAAAUGCAGCAUUUUUUUUAAGAAAUGCAGCAUUUGUUUAUUAGUUACUGAUGGUCAGAAAUCACGGCAACAUAGAAUGUGGCCAUUUAUUAUAGAUGUACCCACAAACAUGAGCACAGGUGUGUGUUAUGCAUGUGUACGUUAUGUAUGGACACUGAAUCGCAUGACCUAAGUAUGUAGCGGGUGGUGAGAAUUGAUGGGACUUGGAAACACCCCCACAAUUUAAUCAAUUGCUCCUCUUUGUGAAAUUUCUGACGGAAAAGUCCUGAUAAGUCCGUAACGGUUGAUUUGUAGUAGGAUCACAAUCGUGAUCAUCAGCAGGCAGCUGACGUAGUGUUCACUUGUUGUCAUAGUUACAGUGAUGCCGUGCUGCUAUCUCACAAUGAACAGAAAUCUUUAUCAAAUCUGUGGAUCCAGACUUAUAAGCUGCAUCACAGCCAAAGUCUAAUCACUUAGUCCUUGUGUCAUUUCUGACCUUCCCUGAAAAUGUAAUCUAAAUCUGUUAGUCUGUUUUUGAGUAAUGUUGCUGACAGACAGACAAACGUAUGCCAACACCAACCAACAACCAACAACCAAACCAACGCUGUUUGGUUGAGGCUUUGACUGUGUAUAAAAGCAGGUACACUUCAGUACUAAAUACAUAAGGCUCAUGGACAGGACACAUUUUGAAGCCUAGUGUAGUGGCUUUGGCCAUAAUCUUGCCAUUGCCUCACUCUUCAUAACUUCUGGCUAAUCCAAAAAUGAAUAAAGAGUAAGAGUGUAAACGGAGCUGAGGUGGGCCAAGCACAUGUCUCUGGGCAUGGACUGUUCUACGAUGGCAACCACCUGUCACUCAAAGCAGCCACAUCCUGAAUCAUGCAGAAGUUUAAUUUAAACAGAUGAGUUCUAUAAGGAUUCGCCCCUGUUAACACGUGUCAUUACUUUAGGUAGUUAGCUAUAGAGACCAAAAACACUUUUAGCACCAGGCUGUUUAUUUCUAACAUUUUCACAUGAAAGUUUGUGGGAUUUGACUCACUUUUGGAGCCAGCCUCAACUGGGCACAAACUGCAGGCACUUCUGUGUUGGCUUCAUUUAUCAGGAAAGUAAAAUAGAAUGGAGAUAGCUGUUUUUGCACAGGACCCCUUCAUUUACAAUGGUUGUUUGCAGAAUAAAUUAUUUGAUGUUCAUGUUAGUCUGCAGUAGAUUUGAGUGUGUAAACAGAAACAAUAGUACCGGUAGUAGUGUCAUUUUUGUAAUGAUGAUAUUAGAAACUAGUGUGACUAAUGGAGAAACAGCUGACAUAACUCAUGCAGAAGGGCCCUGUAAUUAAUCUUUGAAGCUUGACUGAAAAUGUAAAAUGCAUACUAUUGUGUAUAUCUUAAUCUAUAUUUUUGACUUGUUGAUUUUAGUUUGUUUGCCAUUUGUAAUUAUUUUACAAGUGAAAUAAA
ensembl:lncRNA